CCUACGGGAGGCUGCAGUGAGGAAUAUUGGUCAAUGGUCGGGAGACUGAACCAGCCAAGUCGCGUGAGGGAUGAAGGUCCUGAGUAUUGUAAACCUCUUUUGUCAGGGAACAAAGGCGGGGACGCGUCCCCGGAUGAGUGUACCCGAAGAAAAAGCAUCGGCUAACUCCGUGCCAGCAGCCGCGGUAAUACGGAGGAUGCGAGCGUUAUCCGGAUUUAUUGGGUUUAAAGGGUGCGGAGGCGGGCUGUUAAGUCAGCGGUAAAAGUCCGGGGCUCAACCCCGUCCCGCCGUUGAAACUGGCAGUCUCGAGUGGGAGAGAAGUAUGCGGAAUGCGCGGUGUAGCGGUGAAAUGCAUAGAUAUCGCGCAGAACUCCGAUUGCGAAGGCAGCAUGCCGGCGCCACACUGACGCUGAGGCACGAAAGCGUGGGUAUCGAACAGGAUUAGAUACCCUAGUAGUC
rnacentral:rRNA from 1 species